rnacentral:rRNA from 1 species
CAGCCGCCGCGGUAAAACGAAGGGGGCUAGCGUUGUUCGGAGUUACUGGGCGUAAAGCGCGCGUAGGCGGACAUUUAAGUCAGGGGUGAAAUCCCGGGGCUCAACCCCGGAACUGCCUCUGAUACUGGGUGUCUAGAGUUCGGAAGAGGUAAGUGGAAUUGCGAGUGUAGAGGUGAAAUUCGUAGAUAUUCGCAGGAACACCAGUGGCGAAGGCGACUUACUGGUCCGAUACUGACGCUGAGGUGCGAAAGCGUGGGGAGCAAACAGGAUUAGAUACCCCAGUAGUCCCUGUCUCUUAUAC